rnacentral:lncRNA from 1 species
UUAAACUUGUCGUCUCCAAUCUCGUAUUUUUUUCCCACCCCAUUAAAAAAAAGUAUUUGAGUACCUUGUUCUGAAUCAUUUGUGGUAACAUAAACAAGAUCUGAGAGAAUAUGGCUUCUGACUGGCUUGAGUUUGUAAUUCAGAUGGCCUAUUUCAGUUGAUAGGAAUGUUAUAAGUAUGCACUAAUAUUUGCUCAUCAUAUUCUGUCAAGGCUUUUGAUGAGGCAAUUGCGGAGUUGGACACCCUUGGAGAAGAGUCAUACAAGGAUAGCACUCUGAUUAUGCAGCUUCUACGUGACAACCUUACUUUGUGGACUUCAGACAUGCAGGUAACAUUUUUCUAUCUCUAUUUUGUGGAGAGGUUUCCCCAACUACUGCUGUUGUUUAAAGGAAUUACUUGAUGAUAAUGAUUAUUGUUCUUGUGUAUAGGAUGAUGGUUCUGAGGAGAUCAAGGAAGCACCAAAGCAAGAUUAAUAGUAAAAUUUUAUGAUUUACGAUUUGAGUGUUUUGCUAUGUGGUCUGUUUUUUUCAAAUUGAAAAUGCUACUUGUAGCCAGUAAUCUCUAUAAUCUACUUAUUUGCCUAUCUGAAAUUUUAGAAGUUUCUUAUCUCUAUCACUUGUUAUUUACCUUAUUUAUUUUAUUCUCAAAAGAUAACUGUUAAUCUUUGUGCCAACCAUUGUUUGUUCAUAAUUCAUAUUUCUUCUCUGGGGAAACAGCCUCUUUAUAAUUUUGCUUAGAUCUCCUUCUACAUAGUAUUAAUUCAUACAACCUUAAUGUAAAAUUCUUCACUAAUAUGCUUAAUUCUGAGAUCAUCACUAAUCUUUAUCAUACUUUGUGAUUCACUUUUAUGAGCUAAUUUAGGGUCCGUUUGGCAUGAUUUUUAAAAAAUCAAAAGGAGCUUUUGAGUCCAAAAGCUUGUUUGACUAAUUUUAUAAAAAUAUUUUUUAUUUUUUAGUUACGAGAGUUCUAGAGAAAAUUGGUCAAAUGCGGUUAACUAUAAAAGUUUUUCUACUAGAAGCAAAAAUUAUAUUAAAUGGAUCCUUAGUUAUUGGUAUUGGUUUAGCAAAUUAUCCUUAUCUACGUUCUAGAAGGCCAGAAUAUGAUAGAGGAGUAGAAAAUAAGUUGAUGUGUCCCAUUGUACAAUUAGCAUCAAUUUGGACGUGCGACACUAAGGCCACUUGUUCGGCUAAGCUUAAAAGUUAGUUUUCCUCCGUUUUUUAAUUGUUAUGUCAACACUGUACUUUUUAAAUUGUGCAAACUGUAAUGGAAGUCAGUAAAAGGCUAAUUGUUGUACUUAUAAACUUUUUUUGGCUUCAUUUUCAUCUUCAAUCUUUUAUUAGUAAAAGUACGUUUUGUCUCUCAUGGUGAAUUCCAUCCAAAUGAUACGUUAGGACGUUGCUCCUUAUAUUUUUAAAUAAGCAAAAUUAAUAAUAAAAACAAAUGUUCGUAAAAAAAAUUUGUACCCUCAUUUUAAAGUACGAUAAAAUAAUAAUUGGACAAAAAUGGUCAUCAAUAGCACUAUUUGCUAUUAAUUAUAAUAUAAAUAUAAUAAUGAGACGAAAAAAGUUGGUGUAAUCGUGUGGUAAUGAGAGAAGGUUGAGCUUUUUAUUGCAAUUGAAAUGUGGUUUACAUAAAACAAAAAGUGUAAUUUGAAUGUGAUUAUCCUUUUUUAUUUUAGGAAGUAAAUUUUGUUAGUGAAAAAAUUAAGUUUUAAAAUCAUUUAUGGCGGAGAAAAACAUAAAAGUAACUUUUAUAAAUUUUUAAUGGGUGCCACACCAAUAAUUUAAUUCAUUUGAUCUGUAAAUUUAUAAAUAAAAGUAACUUUCAUAAAAGAUUAUCAUUGAUUGGUACGGAUGGAGAUCAUAUCUAUUAAUUUAUAAAUAAACAUAAGCGAGUUAUAAAUAAAUGAAUAAUAUUUGUGAAUAUAUAAAAAGGUGUAACUAUAGAGCAAUUUUACUUGGUGGUGGGCCACACCUUUUUUGACCACCGUUUGAAAUUUGGGUGGAAAGUGGGACAGGGUGUGCUUUAGAGUCGUUGAUGAUGAAUAAAAGUUGGCACCUUUGUGCCUUUCUUGAAGCUUUACAGUUGUAUAUGUUUUUUCUGUAUUGACUAUUGAGUACUUAAAGCUUAUCAAAUAACUGCUCCAUUCCUGACUUGAUAGAUUGUUCAUUGCUACCAAGGCUGUCGAUAUCUCAUUUGUACUUGAGUUGAUCGGGUCAAAUCGACCCAUACUUUUAACGAUUAUUCUUGGUUGACAUGUAAAAUAUUCACAGAAGUCCUAAAGAAAGGACACAACAAGUGAGUAGAUGGUUUUCUUUUGGUAAUAAAAUAUUUACGAAUAAAGCACUCUGCACAGAUCCCUUUGUACAGAGCUUCUACAAGGACUCUCACAUGGGGGUGGACUCCACAUUCCACUUUAUGUGUGUGUACCUAUACAGACCUUGCGCAAAAGAGUCUGUGCAAGUAGCGCAACUGGAUAUUUACAUAGGGUCCACCCUCCAUGUUAGAGCCCUGUAAACAUUCUAUGACUUCUCCAUGUGUACACAUGGAAUAAUUUUAGUUUUAAAGUUGAAAGAGUUGGAUUAAAGAUCCCAUGCCCAUAACUUCGCUAAAACAUAUGAUCACAAAAUGGAUAGAAAUUUCUGGGUGACAAGCAGGCUUUUUACCAUCCGAGAGUAAGGCGAAGUAAUAAGAAAACAAUUUAGAGGAAUAAACGAAUAUCUGAAUACGUACACUGACCAUCAUAGGUUAUUUCAAUGCCAUAAUUGGAUCUCAAUUUUAAACAAAUUGUACCAAAUAUAACGCUUGUUUGGGUGCGCUUGUUUUCAGAAAUUAUUGAUUUCUCACUGUUCAUUGGGUUUAGGUGGAGACCUAAAAAUCUUGCAUGACCUUUCAUAAUUCAAGGUGUUUUUGCCUAAAAAAUAAAUGAAAUAUUGUCCUGUGAAGUUGAUUCACGCAAGGUGACAAUUGUUGUCGACUUCUGAGGUUUGGAAUCAAUUUGAAAUCUGAAAAUUGUAAGCUUGACAACUAAAACAUGGAGAUGUAGUGGUCUAUUUAACUCCAACCGUCAAGUUACUGUGUAUACAUGAAUUAUUUGGUCUAGUUACGGUUGAUUUAGAAAAUUCCAAUCACUGAAUGAGUUAUUGCUUUGUAUUUAUAGUGGAAAUGAGUAGUAAUUGCUUUGUUGGAACACACGGGUCGAGGGUCGUCCAUGUGAGAUAAGUAAAUAUUGACCGCUAUAGUCAGUGAUUUAUGAUUUUUUUUCUUUUUUUUUUUCUUUUUCUUUUUUCUUUUUGGCUCAUUAAAACAGGAACCACGCAUACUUCCUCUCCGUUUUAUUUUGGUCUAUUAGUAGAUGAAGUGGUGGAAUUGUUCUAUCUGGUUAAUACUGGGCGAUCUGAAGGCGAUCAAUUUGACGAUUGUUGCAAAUAUGUUUAUCGUACAAAUUAAUGGGGAUAAGAUUUUUGGGUUUGUGCUAUUGCUUAUUUGUAACUUGGUAAAUAUAUUUAUAUAUGCAUUAGUAUGUUUUGCAGCAAAUGCGAAUCAGCAGAGGAUUUUCCUUUUUUAAUUUUAAUAUAUAUUUUUUUUUAUGAUCUAAUCAUUCUUUUAAAUCAGUCAUAAUCGUACUGUGAACCAAAUAACUUGAUGCUUAUGAUUCAGAUCAUAAAAUUUUACGCGUUGAAUUGUAUAUUUGUCACUGAGUGCAAUUUUGGAUUUUGAAUUUGUAGGAGAUUGCAAAUACAGAACUUGCCCCAACACAUCCAAUCAGGCUUGGACUUGCUCUCAACUUCUCAGUAUUCUACUACGAGAUACUGAAUUCUCCUGAUAGGGCUUGUAAUCUUGCUAAACAGGUCUGCUAAAAAAUUAAACUUGUCGUCUCCAAUCUCGUAUUUUUUUCCCACCCCAUUAAAAAAAAGUAUUUGAGUACCUUGUUCUGAAUCAUUUGUGGUAACAUAAACAAGAUCUGAGAGAAUAUGGCUUCUGACUGGCUUGAGUUUGUAAUUCAGAUGGCCUAUUUCAGUUGAUAGGAAUGUUAUAAGUAUGCACUAAUAUUUGCUCAUCAUAUUCUGUCAAGGCUUUUGAUGAGGCAAUUGCGGAGUUGGACACCCUUGGAGAAGAGUCAUACAAGGAUAGCACUCUGAUUAUGCAGCUUCUACGUGACAACCUUACUUUGUGGACUUCAGACAUGCAGGUAACAUUUUUCUAUCUCUAUUUUGUAGAGAGGUUUCCCCAACUACUGCUGUUGUUUAAAGGAAUUACUUGAUGAUAAUGAUUAUUGUUCUUGUGUAUAGG